rnacentral:lncRNA from 1 species
CAUUAUGAAGCAUUGGGUACCCAAGAUAAACCAAACGUGUAUGAAGAAUUAGAAAAUCAGAAAGGUAGUCUUUUGAAUCAAAAUAAUGUUUUCCUAGAUGUAAAAAUUUCAAAGCAGUUUCCUUUUAACUAUCAAGAUUAUACAGUCAUGUAUCUUGUUACUAACUAAACGUCUGAUAAUUAGUAUAUUGAUAACUUAAAAACAUGUAUAAUGUUAGAUCGUCCAAGGAUAGUCUUUUGGUUGAAUUAUAUAUAAAUGAAAUGCAAGAAUUUACUGAAAUACAUUGUAUUUCUGUAAUGAAAAGUUUGUAAUGGUAACUUAAACUUAAAGAAAGGCAAGGUGUAAUCAAACUAUGAAUUAUUAAAACUAUCUUAGCAAGGAAUAUGUUUUAUGAAGAAAUCCAAAAACAUUCAAUAACAAAUUUGGUUCACUUAGUAAUAAUUGUCUGUCACAUAGUCUUAUAUUUCAAACAUUAUUACUUACAAUGAAUCACAGUCAAUUUCCGUUUUCUGUUUAUGAUAUAUACAUGUAGUCAAAGCCACAUGUAUACAGUUAAAUUUUAAGUUAGAUUAUAUUCAAAGUGCUAUAGUUCCUGUUAUUAAAGGUACUCUUGUUGCAACUUUUAACGUGGGCCACAUGAGCAUAUUUUACUAUAUUUAGCACCUAUGCUCAUAUACUCUGAUAUUCACUCGUCUUGCAGUCUAAAUUGAAGUACAUCACAGAACUUACCUGCAUUAAUUUUUGAUUUUAUUUGUCCUGAAUUCCUGAAAGAAAACAGAUGCUUGUUUUCCAUCUUCAAUCAAUUUGGAGGUGCUGAAUUGUUUUGAAAUUCUUUAUCAAAUGAGAACAGAUCUGUAAAAUGUGCCUUAACAACUUUAUAAGAAACAAAUAUAAACUUUGACCUGAUUAAUAAGGAAUAAACAUUUUUUAAAGUACAUGAGGCAAAAUGAUGUUUUUUAAAUGCAAUUUUUAAUACAACUUAUUACCAAUUCCAAAUUGAACAUCUCUACACCAGCGAAGUGGUACAGUGUAGCAAUAUUUAUUUUUGGACUUUAAAGCCUUCAAUAAUAAUGAAAAAAACAUUAAAGAAAUUAAUGUACGCAGUUACAUUGAGUUAUUUGAUAUCUUUCAGGACAAGCAGAAAAAGUGUAUGUCAAUGAAGCAUUCUGAGCUAAAUUCGAGUACAAGAUUUUGUGAUAGAAACUGUGCAACUCAAUGAGAAAAAUAAAUAUUUGUUUGGUGCUUAUUGUUCGAUGAUGUGGACUGCUGAACUGUGCGAUUUCUGUGUCCUGCAUACUUAUUAUCUGAUGCUUUAUACUAUUAAUGCUUGAUAUUAUUGCAAUUGUGAUUAGCGUGUUAAUCAGAAAGGCAAACUCGAAAUGGAAACAGUGAAAUAUUAACCUUUUACACUGUCAUGCAAUUACCAC